rnacentral:rRNA from 1 species
GGCUCAGGACGAACGUUGGCGGCGUGCCUAACACAUGCAAGUCGAACGGGGAUUUGUUUCGGCAGAAUCCUAGUGGCGAACGGGUGAGUAACGCGUAGGCAACCUGCCCUCCGGCCGGGGACAACACUCCGAAAGGGGUGCUAAUACCGGAUACGAAGUCUGUGCCGCAUGGUACGGAUUUGAAAGAUGGCCUCUAUUUAUAAGCUAUCGCCGGGGGAUGGGCCUGCGUCCGAUUAGCUGGUUGGUGGGGUAACGGCCUACCAAGGCGACGAUCGGUAGCCGGUCUGAGAGGAUGAACGGCCACAUUGGGACUGAGACACGGCCCAGACUCCUACGGGAGGCAGCAGUGGGGAAUCUUCCGCAAUGGGCGCAAGCCUGACGGAGCAACGCCGCCGUGAGUGAGGAAGUUCUUCGGAACGUAAAGCUCUGUUGUUCCUGACGAACCUCCCCUCUAUCAACAACGGAAGGGACUGACGGUAGGGAACGAGGAAGCCACGGCUAACUACGUGCCAGCCGCGGC